rnacentral:rRNA from 1 species
UGGGGAAUUUUGGACAAUGGGCGCAAGCCUGAUCCAGCAAUGUCGCGUGCAGGAUGAAGGCCUUCGGGUUGUAAACUGCUUUUGUACGGAGCGAAAAGGUCUGCCCUAAUACGGUGGGCUCAUGACGGUACCGUAAGAAUAAGCACCGGCUAACUACGUGCCAGCAGCCGCGGUAAUACGUAGGGUGCGAGCGUUAAUCGGAAUUACUGGGCGUAAAGCGUGCGCAGGCGGUUAUAUAAGACAGGUGUGAAAUCCCCGGGCUCAACCUGGGACCUGCAUUUGUGACUGUAUAGCCAGAGUACGGUAGAGGGGGAUGGAAUUCCGCGUGUAGCAGUGAAAUGCGUAGAUAUGCGGAGGAACACCGAUGGCGAAGGCAAUCCCCUGGACCUGUACUGACGCUCAUGCACGAAAGCGUGGGGAGCAAACA